rnacentral:rRNA from 1 species
UACGUAGGGUGCGAGCGUUAAUCGGAAUUACUGGGCGUAAAGCGUGCGCAGGCGGUCUUGCAAGACAGGUGUGAAAUCCCCGGGCUUAACCUGGGAACUGCACUUGUGACUGCAAGGCUGGAGUACGGCAGAGGGGAUGGAAUUCCGCGGUGUAGCAGUGAAAUGCGUAGAUAUGCGGAGGAACACCGAUGGCGAAGGCAAUCCCCUGGGCCUGUACUGACGCUCAGUGCACGAAAGCGUGGGGAGCAAACAGG